rnacentral:rRNA from 1 species
CCUACGGGAGGCAGCAGUAGGGAAUCUUCCGCAAUGGACGAAAGUCUGACGGAGCAACGCCGCGUGAACGAUGAAGGCCUUCGGGUCGUAAAGUUCUGUUGUUAGGGAAGAACAAGUGCUAGUUGAAUAAGCUGGCACCUUGACGGUACCUAACCAGAAAGCCACGGCUAACUACGUGCCAGCAGCCGCGGUAAUACGUAGGUGGCAAGCGUUGUCCGGAAUUAUUGGGCGUAAAGCGCGCGCAGGCGGUUUCUAAGUCUGAUGUGAAAGCCCCCGGNUCAACCGGGGAGGGUCAUUGGAAACUGGGAAACUUGAGUGCAGAAGAGGAAAGUGGAAUUCCAAAGUGUAGCGGUGAAAUGCGUAGAGAUUUGGAGGAACACCAGUGGCGAAGGCGACUUUCUGGUCUGUAACUGACGCUGAGGCGCGAAAGCGUAGGGGAGCAAACAGGAUUAGAUACCCUGGUAGUCCACGCUGUAAACGAUGAGUGCUAAAGUGUUAGAGGGUUUCCGCCUUUAGNGCUAGAAGUUACGNAUUAGCNCUCGCGUGGAGAGUCGCGAGACGAGUAACGUACGAAGAAGUUAGUAGNGUUGAGAGNGCGAGGACGACGACGAGGAGAGG